rnacentral:rRNA from 1 species
CCUACGGGGUGCAGCAGUGAGGAAUAUUGGUCAAUGGACGAGAGUCUGAACCAGCCAAGUAGCGUGAAGGAUGACUGCCCUAUGGGUUGUAAACUUCUUUUAUAUGGGAAUAAAACGUUCCACGUGUGGGAUUUUGUAUGUACCAUAUGAAUAAGGAUCGGCUAACUCCGUGCCAGCAGCCGCGGUAAUACGGAGGAUCCGAGCGUUAUCCGGAUUUAUUGGGUUUAAAGGGAGCGUAGGUGGAUUGUUAAGUUAGUUGUGAAAGUUUGCGGCUCAACCGUAGAAUUGCAGUUGAAACUGGCAGUCUUGAGUACAGGAGAGGUGGGCGGAAUUCGUGGUGUAGCGGUGAAAUGCUUAGAUAUCACGAAGAACUCCGAUUGCGAAGGCAGUUCACUGGACUGCAACUGACGCUGAGGCUCGAAAGUGUGGGUAUCAAACAGGAUUAGAUACCCUUGUAGUC